rnacentral:lncRNA from 1 species
AACCACCAGAAUAUCCCACAAGGCCUUCUGCUAUGUAAGAGCACUCUGUUUUUAGAUUAUUUGGAAAUGCUGCUUUCUGAACCAAGGGAACCCAGAUACUAGAACUAAAACAAUUAGGGAAAAGAGAAGGAGGAAGAAAACCCAGUAAAUGGUCAUUUUGGAACCAAAGGCCUCAAUCAACUUUCAAAUGAUUCAGAAAUGCCUGGACUUCUUCCCAAGAAGUAACCAUGUAGUACAUGUAAAAAAAAUUCAAUAUUGAAAGAAAUACUCAUUUACAACCACUAUAUAAAAACAUAUAUUGAAAAAAACCCAGACUAACUCAACCUGAAGAAAUAUGCCCUCAACAUUCUUCCUGACCAAUAUAUAUUUCAAAAUUGUUUAUCAUGACUCAGUUCUAACCCAAUCAGGAAACAUCUGCUUCAACAAUUUAUCUUCCUAUUGCCUCAGAAGAUUAUUGAAAAAUACCCCCCAAGGAAUGCGGAACAGAUUGUUGUAAUCAUUUUUCUCACCUGGAUCCCCUUGGGUAAUAAGUUCCAUUGGUGACUUGAAGACAUGGUGGUUUAGCACGUAGAUUCCAUUGGACUGAUAAGAGAGCAGCAAUCUUGAUUUGCAUCCACUUUUGCCUGUCCACAAAGAUCCCCCCACAACCUGUUCCCAAAUCGCUGCUUGGAGGGAAAAAGCCCGACAGAAAAGCCUGGGGGCAGUUCUGUGUGUAUUUUUUUUAAAUCAGUGAAUUGCUGCCUCCCUCGUGUCCUAAUAGAGUCCAAAGGUUCUGCCCUCUGUGGGAGCAGCUCCAAGGCAUGGGCUGAGUGCUGCUGUUCACGAGUCCUGUGGACUCGCGUGGACACUGGCAGCAGCUCAGCUAGAGCCUUGGAAAGAUGGGCAAAUGCUCUGUGACAAGCCACCAGGGUAGACUGGUACUGAAAAGACCCUACUACACACAGGGGCUCUGUCCCUGGCUGGAAAGUUACAAGUCAGCCUACCUCUCUGUGAUCUGGUUUCCACACCUACUACUCUUUAUCCCAUGAGGAGCUUCUGGAAACUAAAAUAGCAGCUGCCCAGGUAGAAGAGUGUUGACCAAAGGACACAUCACCAGCACAGACUGUUAAUCAUGUGACUAGAGAAAACUCUCAUGGUGGCAUUCAAAUUUCCAUAUCCUUCUUCUAUGGAAAUUUCUGAGAGACCCAGAAAAGAAGCGUAACGACGAGGGAAAGUGAUUCCUGCAGACCUGAACAUUCCAGACUUACCAGGUGAUCCAGCUGUCUGUCAGCGGGAAGAGGCUGAGGCGCCCCCUUCUGGUGCAUCUGAAUAGUAAGAAACCCUGUGUAGAAAGAAACCCUGUAGCAAUUGGGCACCUUCUCCGUGAUCUGUCUGCUUCCAAUACCAAAAAUUGUUGCUUUUUAAAUGACAUCCAUCCUAAGCUUAAAAAAGACGCAUAUUAUUUGUAUAAAAUGUUGAAGACGCAGAACAAAAAAUGUAAAUCACAUGUAAUCAUCCCUUCCAGAAAUAAUCGUUAUUAAAAUUUCUGUGUAUGUGUAAAAAAAAAAAUUGCAAUCCUACUGUAAUAUAAUCCUGUAUACUGAUAUUUUUCACCUAUCACUGUAUGUUGAGCAUUUUCAAUAGUCAAAUUAUUUCUUGAAAAUAUUAAUGACUGGGGAGUAACCUUUCAAAUAGGUGUGUCUUUAUUUUUAAACCAGUCCACAAUUAUUGUAUAUUGAAGUCAUUUCCCAAAUUUUGUAAGUAUAAGUAUUGCAUCCAUCCUUAUAUGUAUUUAAAUGCAUCUCUUAUUAUUUCCUUGAGAUAAGUUCCUAGAAGUGGAAUCACUGGAUUUAAAAAUGUGGACAUAUUUAUGCCAGACGCGGUGGGUCAUGCCUGUAAUCCCAGCACUUUGGGAGACUGAAGCAGGUGGAUCACUUGAGGUCAGGAGUUCAAGACCAGCCUGGCCAACAUAGUGAAACCCCAUCUCUACUAAAAUUACAAAAAUUAGCCGGGUGUGGUAGUGCACGCCUGUAAUCCCAGCUACUCAGGAGGCUGAGGCAUAAGAAUCACUUGAACUCAGGAGGCGGAGGUUGCAGUGAGCCAAGAUGGCACCACUGCGCUCCAGUCUGGGCGACAGAGUAAGACUUCAUCUCAAAAAUAAAUAAAUAAAAUUAAAAUUAAAUAAGAUAAAUAAAAAAUAAAAAUGUGGACAUAUUUAAAUCUUCAUAUAUAUUACCAAAUGCCCUCCUGAAAGUUUUUACCUGUUACAUUCCAACCAAUAGUGUAAGGGCAUGACUCUUUCCCUGUGUUUUGGGAUGGAUGUUAUCAAAGUUCUCUCCCACCCAGGCCAAGUAUGGUAUAUGCUUUGAUUUAAUUUGAAUUUUUAAAUUAUUAUUUAAAAUGGACAUUUUGUUGUCCAUUUGAACAACUUUCUUUUGAGUCACUGUUCAUGUUCUUUGCCCAUUGUUUCUCUUUUAUUAGUAAGAACCCUAUUGUCAUUUUUAUAUUUUAAAUAAAAUUUCAUUGUAUAUACAUUUAUAUUAUCUAUAGUAAAGUAUAUUUUAUUAUUAAUGAGAACUUU